rnacentral:lncRNA from 1 species
CUGAAAAUCUCUUUAAAAUUGAGUCCAUUGGAGCCAGCGUCUCUUUGCUUGCAACCAAAGACUUGGAACUGAGCAUCAGUGAUUUUCACUUCUCCUACCCAUGAGAUCCCAAGCCUUUCCUGUCUGGAAAGAACAAGGCACACUGGGGAGAGCUUACCUGCUGAACCCUGGCCCCCACCUCACCAGCUUCAGAGGUGACUGGUAACAGUGGUCAUCGCCUUAGUCCUCUGGAAGACCAACCAGUGCCUGCCCAGGGUUGGCAAGUGCUGGACGGAUACAUGCUGUCACUGCUGUCCUUCCAU